rfam:Salmo salar isolate Sally breed double haploid chromosome ssa17, whole genome shotgun sequence.
AAUGUAAUAAAAUGUAUGCGCUCUGGAUAAGAGCGUCUGCUAAAUGACUAAAA